CCCCCCUCGCGGGGCUCGGACUCCCCACGGCCCCUGGCGUCUGCCCGCACCCGGGGCUGCAGGGCCCUGAGCGCGUGGGCUUACUCCGCGCAGGCCCGGCUUCUGACCCACGCUGCGGCGCCGCACCCCCUCCGUUCCUCUUCCUCCAGCCCCGGCGCCUUGCAGCGACCACCCUGUUCUCCAGGGAGCGGCGCCAGGUUUUAACCCAGUGACUGCACCAGGCCCGCCUCCACCGGCAGCUGCUGGGCGCGGACCGCGGCCCCACCUGGUACCGGGGCGCCCCGGGAGGACCGUCGCAUCCUCCCCCAGUACCGUCACGGCAGUGAAACGCCCCUCUGUUCGCAGGAGCCGCCAGGGCCGCCUUCCUGCCGCGCGCACGCCGUUCUGUAGCUUCCAGCUCGGACACCACCGCACCGAAGGCUCUGGAGUUUUCACUCCAUUUCCUUUGGAGACGUUCGGGGCAGAACCUGUGGGUGAGGUUUGGAACCGUACGGAGAAUCAGAGAGUCUGGGUGAACCUUGACUCACAGAACCCCACGAUGUAAGAGACAGGAAGGACCUCCAGGAAGGACCUCCCAAUUGUAGCGUCCACUUUUCUGGCAGAUGUCAGAAUUCUCAUCCUCCCCAUUCAAACUUUGAGAAUGGUUCCAAGAAUGCCACGCACCCUCCUUUCCUCUGGUUAGACAGAGACGGGGCUGAGGGUGGCCAGGGCACUGCAGUUUUGCUCACAAAUACCCGAAAACAAAGUUCACACCAGAGCUUCCUCGGCUGAGACUUGCCCAUCUGGGUUUUCUAUCUGGUCUCCAUGUCGGUUACUUAAUUCCUGGAUGAAGAGCCUCCAAGGCAGGGAUUGCUUGAGAUGCUUCCAUGAGUAAGAAGAGAAGGGUGAAGCUCUGGCUGGCGUAGCUCAGUGGAUUGAGCGCGGGCUACGAACCAAAGUGUCGCAGGUUCGAUUCCCAGUCAGGGCUCAUGCCUGGGUUGCAGGCCAUGACCCCCAGGAACCGCACAUUGAUGUUUCUCUCUCUCUCUUUCUUCCUCCCUUCCCUCUCUAAAAAUAAAUGAAUAAAAUCUUAAAAAAAAAAAAAGAAGAGAAGGGUCCUCUGGGAGUCCUUGGUCCCUCACUGUCAC